UUGUUGGUUUUAACUGAACCCAAGGUAAUGACUAAUCGAGACAGUCGGGGGCAUUUGUACUGUGACGCUAGAGGUGAAAUUCUUGGACCGUCACAAGACAAACAACUGCGAAAGCAUUUGCCAAGGAUGUUUUCAUUAAUCAAGAACGAAAGUUAGAGGUUCGAAGGCGAUCAGAUACCGCCCUAGUUCUAACCAUAAACGAUGCCAACCAGCAAUCCGCCGGGGUUAUUCCCAUGACCCGGCGGGCAGCUUCCGGGAAACCAGAGUCUUUGGGUUCCGGGGGAAGUAUGGUUGCAAAGCUGAAACUUAAAGGAAUUGACGGAAGGGCACCACCAGGAGUGGAGCCUGCGGCUUAAUUUGACUCAACACGGGAAACCUCACCAGGCCCAGACACUGGAAGGAUUGACAGAUUGAGAGCUCUUUCUCGAUUCAGUGGGUGGUGGUGCAUGGCCGUUCUU
rnacentral:rRNA from 1 species